rnacentral:lncRNA from 1 species
UCUCCCUGCAAGAGACAGUUAGAGCUUGUGUCACUACCUCCUGGUAGGAGAGAUUAGCGCCAAAGCCCAGGGCAGUCCAGAAGAGUAAUUAAAACCACUUGGUAAAGUCCUCCUUAAUGAUCCCUUCAGAGAUACAAUAGAGUCAGAAAGUGAGAUAAAACUAUCCCCACAAUCUCAUUAAUACAUUAUACAAAAAUCCAAUGAGCACUUUUGUUCUGGGCAUUAUGCUAAGUACUUUAUAUUCAUCUUACUCAUUUCUCACAACUAUCCUAAGAGGUAAACAUAAACAUUACUUACUAUCUUCCUCCUACAGGAAACUUGAGGAAACUGGAGUUUAAGAAAAUCAAGAAACUCCCUAAAUAUCCUAACCUGGUCAAGAAUAAAGCCAAGAUUUAGACCUCGUCCAGUUCUAACAUUGAAGACCUUCCUGUAAAGCAAUAUGUGCUCUUUUAGCCAUAUGUACUCCUGCGGUUUGAAAUUACUGAGCACCCCUGCUUCCUAAAGAAUCUUCAAAUUGCCCCUUCAAGGCUCCCUGGUGGUGCUCUGUACUUGGCAUGUUAGUGAGUGAGACCGUUGACAACUCUCUCCAAGGCACUGUUCUUAUCUGGAAAUACCUUAGAGUUUUCUUUCUUUAGUUGAAAUUUCCCAUUUGGAUGUGAAGGUGCCCACUUUGGGAACCAAUAGGAAUCUAGACAUUGGACUGGGACCUUGCCUUGUCAAGAGUCCACACAUGGUGAAUGGGGUUCAUGAAUAGUGGCCAAGCUGUCAGAUUCUGUGGCUCUGUGGUCAGUACAAGAUUAGAAGUGAGAUGAGGGUCCACCAACCAUGGAAGGAGAAAGCAGAGGCUGAUACCAUUGCUGAUUUGUGAGGGAAAGGACAGAAAUCCUUCAGGAAGGAGAAGAAAGGGCUGGACUCCUCAAAUAAAGAAUGUUUCUUAGGUCAUCUUGGGUGAUGUCAAAGAAAGAUGUCUCUCUGAAGAAGAAGAUGCCAAUGAUGAGAGGCCAUGAUCCAGUGGUGAACACCAGAAAUUAUGAUGUAGCCCUUCCUGGUGCCAAUAACUGGCCCAAGGAUGCUAGAUGAUCUCUACCCUUGAACAUUUCUGGUUAUUUCAUGGAAGGUGAUGGGAAAAUAGCCUCCACAUUGGACUCAGAAAAUA